UCGAAUUUCUGUUUCUCUUACGAUCUGCCUUUCAGUAUCUCAGUCCUCCUUCUCCAAUUGGACGGGGUUUUAUCCUAAGAAUUCAGUUUUGAUUUUUCUGGGAAGGAUUCUUUGCUUUCUUUUUCUGAAAUUAAUCCCUGUCCCCACCCUUUCUCUCUUAUUUUACUGCUAGAGCACUAGGACCAAAGUCCCAGCAUUAGGACAAGUCCUAAUGGGCUACCAAGAAGAGAACAUGGGAUUGCAGAGACCUUCGCUGACGUUUAAUAUUCGUGGAAUGCACACGAAGAAGCACUGGCAGUAUGGUUUUAGCCAGAUGAUACCAAAAUGACCCCAGAACCAGAAGAUGGCAGAGCCACAAAGUGAAAAAUACUUGGGUCUCUGAGUCAUAGCUUGGAGGAGGGCUUCCUGGAAAAUCAUCCCAACAGAGACAUCCACAUUAAACUUUGUGUAAACAAAAAAUGAAUCUUUCUUGUGGUAGGCCACUGAGAUUUAGAUUGCUACAGCAGCUAACCGGUCUGAACCGUACAGCAGGUACUGAAUACCAACUUACCAUGGGAGAGACAUUCGUGUGCUUCACAUUAAAGUAACUUGGGAAAUUAAAAAAAAUCCUGACAUUCAGGUU